CUUUCCUUGAUGACGACUGGCGCACGGGUGAGUAACGCGUAUCCAACCUUCCCAUAACUACGGGAUAACCCGUUGAAAGACGGCCUAAUACCGUAUGACAUCGUUUGCUGACAUCAAAUAACGAUUAAAGGUUUAGCGGUUAUGGAUGGGGAUGCGUCUGAUUAGCUUGUUGGCGGGGUAACGGCCCACCAAGGCUACGAUCAGUAGGGGUUCUGAGAGGAAGGUCCCCCACAUUGGAACUGAGACACGGUCCAAACUCCUACGGGAGGCAGCAGUGAGGAAUAUUGGUCAAUGGGCGAGAGCCUGAACCAGCCAAGUAGCGUGCAGGAAGACGGCCCUAUGGGUUGUAAACUGCUUUUAUGUGGGGAUAAAGUGCGCGACGUGUCGUGCAUUGCAGGUACCACAUGAAUAAGGACCGGCUAAUUCCGUGCCAGCAGCCGCGGUAAUACGGAAGGUCCGGGCGUUAUCCGGAUUUAUUGGGUUUAAAGGGAGCGUAGGCUGUCUAUUAAGCGUGUUGUGAAAUUUACCGGCUCAACCGGUGGCUUGCAGCGCGAACUGGUCGACUUGAGUAUGCAGGAAGUAGGCGGAAUUCAUGGUGUAGCGGUGAAAUGCUUAGAUAUCAUGACGAACUCCGAUUGCGCAGGCAGCUUACUGUANCAUAANNNGCGCUGAUGCU
rnacentral:rRNA from 1 species